rnacentral:rRNA from 1 species
GAUGAACGCUGGCGGCGUGCCUAAUACAUGCAAGUCGAACGAGGCCCUCUUCCUUCGGGAGGAGGUGUCCUAGUGGCGAACGGGUGAGUAACACGUUGGUGACCUACCCCGAAGAGGGGGACAACCCCGGGAAACUGGGGCUAAUACCCCAUGUGAUCCUAAGGAUUAGAUGCCUAAGGAUGAAAUGGAGCAAUUCGCUUCGGGAGGGGCCUGCGGCCUAUCAGCUAGUUGGUGAGGUAAUGGCUCACCAAGGCGACGACGGGUAGGGGACCUGAGAGGGUGACCCCCCACACUGGAACUGAAACACGGACCAGACACCUACGGGUGGCAGCAGUAGGGAAUAUUGCACAAUAGGCGAAAGCCUGAUGCAGCAACGCCGCGUGCGCGAUGAAGGCCUUAGGGUUGUAAAGCGCUUUUCUGGGGGACGAGAAAGGACGGUACCCCAGGAAUAAGUCUCGGCUAACUACGUG